GACGUAGGAGGCGAGCGUUGUCCGGAGUUACUGGGCGUAAAGCGCGCGCAGGCGGCCCUGUGCGCUGCCGGUGAAAGCUCCCGGCUUACCUGGGAGAGGUUCGGCAGGACGGCAGGGCUGGAGGGUGGGAGAGGUCGGUGGAAUUCCCGGUGUAGUGGGUGAAAUGCGUAGAGAUCGGGAGGAACACCCGUAGCGAAGGCGGCCGACUGGACCACACCUGACGCUGAGGCGC
rnacentral:rRNA from 1 species